ACCUAAUCUCUAUUUUUUUUUCUCAUGCCAUAUCUAGGUUAGCACCUUCAUUUUGGUUUAUUGGAUGGCCAAAAGUCACUGAUGGAUGGUGGAGAAAAAAUAUGCCAAGGAAAGCUUCGCCAUGCAUUGGAGGAACAUCGAGAAAAAUAUUUCGAAUAGUCUUUCUACGUGAAGCAUCUCUCAGAUUUUUUUUUGUUGCUUGCCAUAUGUCAAAUUCUUUCAGAUAGGCAUGAAAAUUUAACUGGGGGCAUAAGAAAUUUUGAGAAGGUGCGAGAUGGCAUAUGGAGAGGGCGCGAGUCAUUCCCGAAGGCAACCUAUCGCUAACUAUUUAAAGGGGCCUACACUGGGGAUUUGAUUCAUUCAAAAUUCUAAACCUAUCUCUUCUUUCUUAUACCCUCUCCUUAUUGUCCAAUUAGUCUCUUCCUUCUUUUGUUAGGAUAAGUCCAAAAAUAGUAAGGACAAAUCUAAUUUUAGGACAAGAGCCUAGGAAGAGAUUUAAGAAAGACAAGAAGAGAAGAAAGGUGGGGAUAGGAAGGCUAGGAGGA
rnacentral:lncRNA from 1 species